GUGAGUAUGCGUUAAUGGUAAACGGUCUGUCUUCCAAACAGAUAAUAUGGGUUCGAAUCCCAUUACUCACA
rnacentral:tRNA from 1 species